UUGAUUUCCUCAGGAGUUAACUUGGCAUCACUUUCACCUUUCUUGACCUAGACCCCCUUGAUACUUACAUACCCCAUGCUAGAGAAGGCUCUAGAGUAAUCUUAUUUGGACACAUAAACAAAGGGAUAGUCCGAAAGCGAAAUUUGACGGGCUUCUAGAAUAUGGGUAAUGGCCAUACCGUAAGGAAGACUGGUAGGGUCUUCAGCACUCUCAAUCAUUAAAUUGAUAACCCAGGAGGCAGCUUGAUUUUGAGUUUGGAGAUGAGACAGUAGACGAAGAAGGUGUCCCUUUGAGAGAGAUUUGAGAAGAAACCAGUUCUGGGAAGGAGAGUGGUUGCAAUUAUGUGAGCAAGAACCCUAGUCUCAAAGCUAACAUCAAUGGGUCCUAGUUGAUAUGGAAGAGUUUCAGAAGGGUUUUCUGCAAU
rnacentral:lncRNA from 1 species